ACGCNGGCGGCGUGCUUGACACAUGCAAGUCGAACGGUAUGUGGCAACACAUAGAGUGGCGAACGGGUGAGUAACACGUGGGAACGUACCUUCUGCAGGGGGAUAACUGACCGAAAGGACAGCUAAUACCGCAUAAGACCGAGAGGAGAAAGGUGCAACAGCAUCGGCAGAGGAGCGGCCCGCGGACCAUCAGCUAGUUGGUGGGGUAAGAGCCUACCAAGGCAACGACGGAUAGCCGGCGUGAGAGCGUGGCCGGCCACAAGGACACUGAGAUACGGGUCCUACUCCUACGGGAGGCAGCAGUGCGGAAUUUUAGAUAAUGGAGGCAACUCUGAUCUAGCGACGCCGCGUGCAGGAAGAAGGUCUUCGGAUUGUAAACUGCUGUGGUAAGGGAAAAAUGCCAUGUAGAGUGGAAAGCUACAUGGAGGGAUGGUACUUUACUAGAAAGCCCCGGCUAACUACGUGCCAGCAGCCGCGGUAAUACGUAGGGGGCGAGCGUUACCCGGAAUCACUGGGCGUAAAGGGAGCGUAGGUGGCCUGACAUGUCGACUGUGAAAACCCGGAGCUCAACUCCGGACUUGCAGUUGAAACUGCCAGGCUUGAGGACGGUAGAGGAAGACGGAACUGCCAGUGUAGGGGUAAAAUCCUUAGAUAUUGGCAGGAACGCCGGUGACGAAGGUGGUUUUCUGGGCCGGUUCUGACACUGAUGCUCGAAAGCCAGGGGAGCGAACGGGAUUAGAUACCCCGGUAGUCCUGGCCCUAAACGAUGUUCACUAGGUGUGGGGAGCGGAAAGCUUUCCGUGCUAAAGCUAACGCGA
rnacentral:rRNA from 1 species